rnacentral:tRNA from 1 species
UGCGAAGUAGCUCAAUGGCAGAGCAGAGGAUCGAUAAUCCUCAGACAAAGGUUCGAUUCCUUUCGUCGCAACCA